UAGGGAAUAUUGCACAAUGGGCGAAAGCCUGAUGCAGCAACGCCGCGUGUGCGAUGAAGGCCUUCGGGUCGUAAAGCACUUUUCUGGGAGAUGAGAAAGGACAGUAUCUCAGGAAUAAGUCUCGGCUAACUACGUGCCAGCAGCCGCGGUAAAACGUAGGGGGCAAGCGUUAUCCGGAUUCACUGGGUGUAAAGCGCGUGCAGGCGGUUCGGUAAGUUGGGCGUGAAAUCUCCUGGCUCAACUAGGAGAGGUCGUUCAAUACUACCGGACUUGAGAGUGGUAGAGGAAGAUGGAAUUCCCGGUGUAGUGGUGAAAUGCGUAGAUAUCGGGAGGAACACUAGUGGCGAAGGCGAUCUUCUGGACCAUUUCUGACGCUCAGACGCGACAGCUAGGGUAGCAAAC
rnacentral:rRNA from 1 species